rnacentral:rRNA from 1 species
GACGAACGCUGGCGGCGUGCUUAACACAUGCAAGUCGAACGAUGAAGAAGAGAAACGCGAACUUCGGUUCAAAUUUCACUUCGGAUUAGUGGCAGACGGGUGAGUAACGCGUGAGCAACCUACCUCUUACAAAGGGAUAGCCACGGGAAACCGUGAUUAAUAACAUAUGACACAUUCAUAAGGCAUCUUAAGAAUGUUAAAGCUACGACGGAAAGAGAUGGGCUCGCGUCCCAUUAGCUAGUUGGGGAGGUAAAGGCCCACCAAGGCGACGAUGGGUAACCUGCCUGAGAGGGUGAGCGGUCACUUUGGCACGGGGACACGGUCCAGACUCCUACGGGAGGCAGCAGUGGGGAAUAUUGCACAAUGGAGGGAACUCUGAUGCAGCGACGCCGCGUGAGCGAUGAAGGAAGUCGUUUCGUAAAGCUCUGUUCUAUGGGAAGAAAAGGACUGUACCAUAGGAGAAAGCCCCGGCUAAAUACGUG